AGCAGUAGUCUAAAAAUAUAAAACGAGGCAUUGAUAACUUUUUAAGUGUACAGAUUAUUGGCGAACACAGAGCUUGCGUGUUGUUGACCGAUGGCACAAUCUCUGUGUUCGUCAAUCUACUUAUCGAGUCUUAAAAACAAGAAGGCUUCAACGGGUGAACUACUGAUGAUAUUGUGUGUAUCAAAUGUCCUUUUUAAUAAACAAUCUGUACACUUACAAAGUUAUCAAUGCCUCAUUUUGUAUGUUAAGACCCUUAUUAUAAUACCAAAGAAGUGUCGGGCUACUUCUAGCCUUUUAAGUGGUUUAAAAUUGCGAUUUAGUUUUUACCAUAACACAUGCCCCUAUCGUUCCAAGUUUAUAGCAUUUUGAUAGAAUCGGCUAAAAACAGCCAACUGAAGAAUGCGUCUAAAUGCGCUUUUUUGCUCCAAAACGAACAUUCCAACUCGUUAUCAUACCAAACACAUCCCGAAUCCAUUUUACACCGGAUUUCUCCUUUAA